GCCAGGCGCAGUGGCGCAUACCUGUAGUCCCAGCUACUCAGGAGGCUGAGGUGGGUGGAUGGCUUGAGCCCAGGAAUUCUGGGCUGUAAUGCGCUAUGCCAAUCGCGUGUCUGCACUAAGUUCAACAUGAAUAUGGUGACCUCCUGGGAGCAGGGGACCACCAGGUUGCCUAAGGAGGGGUGAACCAGCCCAGGUCAGAAAUGGAGCAGGUCAAAACUCCUGUGCUGAUCAGUAGUGAGAUCAUGCCUGUGAAUAGCCAUUGCACUUCAGCCUGGGCAACAUGGCAAAACCCCAUCUCUA
ensembl:misc_RNA Metazoa_SRP Metazoan signal recognition particle RNA